rnacentral:misc_RNA from 1 species
UCCGGCUAAAACCGGCAGUCUCGUCUGAAAAAUCCAACAGACGAUGAGGGUUUCGCUCGUUUACCCACUUAAGGGUACAGCUCACGCCACGAGCUGACGACAGCCGUGCAACACCUGUCUUAGCGUUCCCUUGCGGGCACGGUCCUAUUUCUAGGACUUUCGCUAGAUGUCAAACCCUGGUAAGGUUCCCCGGUUAUCGUCGAAUUAAACCACAUGCUCCACCGCUUGUGCGAUCCCCCGUCAAUUCCUUUGAGUUUUAGUCUUGCGACCGUACUUCCCAGGCGGUGCACUUAACGCGUUAGCUACGCUACAAGAAGGGUCGAUACUUCUGAUAGCUAGUGCACAUCGUUUACGGCGUGGACUAC